GAGUGCAUGAGCAGUAAGGAAGGAGGAAAUAAAGAGAGCUCGUUCAGCUCUUUGGGAAGGGGCUCUUGGGUGGCGCGACAGAUUGAUUGUGUGUGCUGUGUUGCAGAAGUUUUGUUUGUUUUCAGCGUUUGUAGUUUAUAAAGUAUUUAACUCAAUCAUCGGUGUGACAGUUCCAGGUCGUGGUUGUUUUCGUUUGGGAUCGCGCCAGUUAUGGAUCGCAUGGAUUAGUAGCAACCUUGUUGCGAAGCUUUAAUAUACAUACCAACGGACGGUCAGACAGUACACCGGCACGCCCGAAGACCACAGCUAAGAUCUCUCUUGUUCUCUUUCUCUCUUUCUCUUCCCUCUAUCGUUCCAGUGCUUUACCCUGUAACAGACUCUCUAUUUUUCAAAUGCACUUCCCAUUGAAGUUCAUUAGAGGUGGACUAUUAUUGCCAUGCCAGAAGUAUUUGGGUGGACAUCUUAGUUAAAAGGGAGGUUGCUUGCAAGUUGUGUAUUAUGUGAACUGUAUUGAGGUGGGGUGUACUAAUGACAUGUGGCCGAGAAGAUUUUGGACAUUUUUAAGGCCUUUGGUGUCUAUGAACACCCCCCACAUUCAUACCCUCUGCACUCCUCCACUGGAAGAUAAUACAGAUUACUGCAAAUCCUCUGUUGAUGACUGGGUUCUUUCUUGUAUGAAGUUGCUCUGCCAUAAUGAAUAUUAUUAUUGUAUGAGGUAUUCUUGUUGGGGUUACCCCUGUGCUGUGAUGUGGGUUUUAUAUGGUGUGUAUUCUCUUUUCUCUCCACUGGCUAUCUGGUAAACAGGCUACACUCUAGGCAGUCUCUUCUGCUGAUGUGUGUGGGUCUGGUAGUGUUACUCUCUCUAUUCUACUCUUUUCGGCAUGGUUAAUACCUGCCUGGCGCCCGAACAAAAUUUUUCGUUACCCCUCAAAUAAAUACCGCUACAACUGGACUCCUCUUUCAACAUGGGUGCUGGAGCUCAACACUCCAACCUGGUAAUCGUCCUGCUCAUGACUACAGGGCUCCGUGUUGAUUUGACCCCUGACCUAGUUGUGGACGGUGAGUGGGCCGUCCUGACCUGUGGCUCCUGCUUCAUGAGCGAGAAUCACACCUACAACUGGUACAGGGACACAACCUUUGACCUAUACCAACAAGGUCAAGGUUAUGGCCAACUACCUGGAACUAGACCCGGUAGGCAGGGAGGAUUCAGACAGCUACUCCUGUGUGGUGAGCGGCAGAGAGGAUUCCCCUGGUCCGGCAGUGAUCACUUGACUCUGCACCUGUGCAUCUCAGUAUAGCAGAGGGAGGGGUUCUCAGGUUUUAACCUUCCAACGCAGUCACAUCCUCACCAUAUUUCACACUACACGGUCAAUUUAUCAUAGAAGAUUGAGACGUGAGAGAAAGAAAUGUGGUGCAUUUGCUUCAAAGGGAGGAGAGAAGAUGGGGACACUACCACUUUCUCGAAAGAGAGUUUGUCUUGUGGAAGAAAAAAGGGAGACACUGAAGGGAGGAUAGCAGAGGACAACCGUCUCAUUGGUGGAGAAAUGCCCUGUCAACAAAAACCAACCUACAAUCCCCAGUCUACCAUCACAGUGCAGGGUGGAAGCAUUGUAAUUGCCCCAGAGAUCAACUCCACAGUAGGAGGUGACAUCAACAUCAACAUUGGAACAAAGAUUUACUGUCAGGGCCCAGGUCUGGCAGGAUCUGUGCAGAAGAUGGGUGCUGCUGUAGGCCCUCUUUGGUUGGGAACAGAAGUACCAGAUCAGCAGCAAACAGACAUUUGGCUUCAGAUUCUAGUAGGGUGAGGCCAGUGAGGUGUCCAUGUGACCUGUCCCCAGUGUGAAGAGAUCCAGAACACAUUGGGGAACACUGUCAUCCAGCUGUUAAUAAAUCAUUGACAAUAAUUCUCUAAUUCGUUUCAUGUUGUUACAUCAAGGAGAGAACAAACAUUCAAUAAAAUUCACAAGUUGAUUUAAAA